ACACGACUACAUUAGAUACCCCUGUAGUCCUAGCCGUAAACGAUACUCGCUAGGUGUCGGCCACGGUGCGACCGUUGUCGGUGCCGUAGGGAAGCCGUGAAGCGAGCCACCUGGGAAGUACGGCCGCAAGGCUGAAACUUAAAGGAAUUGGCGGGGGAUCACAACAACGGGUGGAGCUUGCGGUUUAAUUGGAUUCAACGCCGGAAAUCUUAGCGGGACCGACAGCAACAUGAAGGCCAAGCUGAAGACUUUGCCGGAUUAGCUG
rnacentral:rRNA from 1 species